AUGGCCCCUGUCUCCGCCGUUGGCAUCAAGCGCUCCGCCCCGUGCGACUACGACGAGCAGCCUGGCGUUCAGUGCAAGGGGGUGUCGUCGCACCAAGCACACCAGAGUACUUUCAAGGGCAAGCAAGUAGCCGACCCUGAAGACCACGGUGGUGAUGAAGCUAACGAGCGGAAGCGGCGCCGGCGUCUUGCCAUCGACAUCAAUGAGGUGCCCCACAACAAAGAUGAGGACCUCAACAACCCUCUUCAUGUCGGGGCCCCGGCUGCAGGUGGUAGGUGCUCCCAGCUGCCACCCUGGCUGCUCUCACUCGUGAAAAAGAAGCAAGCGCAUGACAACGAGAUACUAGAGCUUGCAGACCAGCGCUUGCACUCGGCCACGAAGGACCUAGUGGAGGAAAUGGAGUCGAAGAAGACGCAGAUGGAGAAUGAGAAGAUGCGGCUGGAGAACUAUCGACUCCUAUUGCAGGUCAAGCUCAAUGAGUUGGAGCUCAAGAUUUCCAGGUCGACAAGGAUCUAG
rnacentral:rRNA from 1 species